UCUUCCAAGAUGAGGUAAUAGUCGUUCACGGGAAUAAACAUUUACUGACAUACAUGCUCCGCAGACCAUUCUAGAAAUGCUCCAAGAUCGCAGUCUACUCCCACCGGCCCACGUCAGGUCACAAACUACACGUCAACGUUAGACAGGGCUGUGUGUAACACGCGUACAACAUACACCAGAGAUGUUGUUAUUGUCGGCUGGUACACGUCUCGCGUCGGGACAGCAGCAGAGGUUUCACUAGCGAUGGAUGAUGUGUACAAGGUCAUCGGGGCAAUGUUGGCUAUGCUCUUCUUUUUGGUGUAUCUGUCCCGCUUGUACCGACGAUACAGGCUCAGACACUAUGAAGUGCCGGUCCGAGAUAUUCGUAAGGGGCAUCGGUGGUUCAUGAUGGAUGUCUUCACAGAACCGACAUACUGCAACAUCAGCGGUUACCACAUCAUUCAUGGGGCUAGAUGCGACUCGUGUGGCAUCAGCGUGGACGACCACAACAUGAGAGCGGCAGACAAGAAGUUUAAAUGUAAGCAGGUGUGCAUCAAGGGGGAGGUAAUGCAUCACCAGUGGAUACCAGGUAAUGUCCCCUUGUGCAGCGUCUGUGAUGUGUGUGGUGAAGACUGUGGCAACUCCCCCGAGCUGUGUGAUCAGCGAUGUUGCUGGUGUCAGAGAACUGUCCAUGAUGACUGUUCACCCUCCACUGAUAUCUGUGAUAUGGGGGCCAACUGUAAAGAAAUUGUACCUCCAAACUGCCUUGAACUGAAGUGGGUUGGGCUCAAAGGUCGUAAACAUCUCAUUGUGAAGUCUGUCCGCAAACCUUCCAUUCCAGAAUGGUCUCCCCUGAUUGUGAUAGCCAAUAGGAAGAGUGGGAACAAUGAUGGGGAACACGUCCUGCAAGCAUUCCGUGCAAUACUCAACCCAGCACAGGUGAUAGAUCUCCAUGACAUUCCCCCCGAGAGUGGCCUUGAGUGGUGCCAUCUUCUCCCUCUCACCCCCGUGCGUGUCCUUGUGUGUGGGGGCGAUGGCACCAUCGGCUGGGUGCUCAAGUCUAUAGAGAAACUACAAUUCAAGAAGCCACCGAGAGUGUGUAUACUGCCACUAGGCACGGGGAACGACCUGUCCAGAGUGUUGGGAUGGGGUGAAGGUUACACUGGAGACGUGCAGGUUUCGGAUGUCUUGUCCCACUUGAAGGAGGCCCACCCUGUAGCCCUCGACAGGUGGAAAAUAGAGAUCAGUCAUGAGAAACACUUUGGAAUAUCCGUUCCCAAGCUGAAACGGGUCAUGAUGAUGAACAAUUACGCCUCUAUAGGUGUUGAUGCACUUGUCACCCUCAACUUUCACAAGCGCAGGGAAAGUUGGCCAUGGCUGUUUGCUAACCGGCUCAUCAACAAGUUUGCGUACUUCACAUACGGCACCAAGGACGUCCUGGAGAGGGAGUGCAAGCAGCUCAACAAGAAGAUGAGGGUUGAGUUGGAUGACCGCGUCCUUGAACUACCUGACAUUGAAGGCAUUGUCAUCCUCAACAUCAGCAGCUGGGGCGGCGGCUGUCGUCCGUGGCAACUGGCAUCUGAUGACUUUGACUUCAAACCUGCUUGCUAUGACGAUGGCUUGCUGGAAGUGAUGGCACUGUACUCUUCCUUCCACAUAGCACAGCUCCAGGUCGGGCUGGCAGCGCCGUUUAGACUCGGACAAGCAAGGAAAGUGAAGAUCAGCCUGCAUGGUGGGAAGGCCCCGAUGCAGGUAGACGGAGAACCAUGGGAACAGCUCCCUGCAGACAUCGUCAUCACACACCACAGCCAGGCCGCCGUGAUGGCCAUCAGCUAGAGGCGGCUGGGAGGAUGGGAAGGGAUGGUACAGAGAAGUAUGUGUCACAAGGAAGGAUUGUGACACAUGGAAGAUGAGAAGGAAUGGUUGAGCAGCAGGUGUCAUCAGGGAGUGACAGGGAGACUGCUACUGUCAGAUACCUGAAGGAACUGUAUGGUUGAGGUGGAGUAGGUCUGUAGGUCCAGUAGAGGUGUUCUGGGUUAGGAGUAGUAGGUGUAGUGAUGUAAGUACAUAUGCGUAUAAUGCAAGGGUGCUGGCUACACUCUUGUGAAUCUUGUGAAUUUCAGUUCAUGGCCAAUUUUUUAGUGUACUUUGAGCACCAAGGCGGUACACUUCAGAUUAAGGGGACGAUGAAGAACACUUCAAAUUGAGAGGAGGAUGCAGAACACUUCAGAUUAGAAGGUUGAUGCAGAACACUUCAGAUUGGAAGGCCGAUGCAGAACACUUCAGAUUGGGAGGACAAUGCAGAACACUUAAGAUUAGAAGGUCACUGCAGAACACUUUAGAUUUGGAAGGUUGAUGCAGAACACUUCAGAUUAGAAGGUUGAUGCAGAACACUUCAGAUUAGAAGGUAGAUGCAGAACACUUCAGAUUGGGAGGAUGAUACAGAACACUUCAGACUAGAAGGUCGAUGCAGAACAUUUCAGAUUGGGAGGACAAUGCAGAACACUUCAGACUAGAAGGUCGAUGCAGAACACUUCAGAUUGGGAGGACAAUGCAGAACACUUCAGACUAGAAGGUCGAUGCAGAACACUUCAGAUUGGGAGGACAAUGCAGAACACUUCAGAUUAGAAGGUCAAUGCAGAACACUUCAGAUUGGGAGGACAAUGCAGAACACUUCAGACUAGAAGGUCGAUGCAGAACAUUUCAGAUUGGGAGGACAAUGCAGAACACUUCAGAUUAGAAGGUCAAUGCAGAACACUUCAGAUUGGGAGGACAAUGCAGAACACUUCAGAUUAGAAGGUCGAUGCAGAACACUUCAGAUUGGGAGGACGAUGCAGAACACUUCAGAUUGGAAGGAGGACACAGAACACUUCAGAUUGGAAGGUCGAUGCAGAACACUUCUGAUUGUGAGGAUGAUGCAGAACUCUUCUGAUUGUGAGGAUGAUGCAGAACUCUUCUGAUUGUGAGGAUGUUGCAGAACACUUCAGAUUGGUAGGACAAUGCAGAACACUUUAGAUUAGAAGGUCAAUGCAGAACACUUCAGAUUGGGAGGCCGAUGCAGAACACUUCAGAUUGGAAGGACAAUGCAGAAUGCUUGAGAUUGCGAGGACAAUGCAGAACACUUCAGAUUGGGAGGAUGAUGCAGGACACUUCUGAUUUGAAGGUCUAUGCAGAAUACUUCAAAUUGGGAAGAUGAUGAAGAAAAAAUGUAGAUGGAUAUAUACAGCCCAUGUAUGCUGUAUGCUUGUCUGACAGUAUCCAAAGACUCCUGUGUUAAAGAAAACACACUCAAGCUUUCUUAUCAAUAGAAACACAUAGUACACCUUCCCUGAUGACGCCAUCAGAUCCUGCCUUGGCUGCUCACUACGUGUCAACAGUGUCAGUGUCACAAUAGGUCAUAAUGUCGAACUCAUAACAGCAAAGCAAAGUCAUGAUGAGUCCGGAGCAGGGAAUCUCCUUGAGGUAUCUGUAUUGUACAGAAGCUGUUGGACUGGUAUGUGUAUGCCUGCAGGUGUGAACUAUAUCCAGGUGAUACAGUAUGUAUAGUAUCAGGUACAGUGUUGUACAGUAUGGGACACAGCACUGUACAGUAGUGACUGGUGGGCUAACUAAGCUUUGCUACUAUGUGUAUCUCCUUUUGUGUUGUGUGUAGUGUUGUCGCUCAGAGCACCAGCAUGUCUUACUAUGUGUGGGUCCCACUGAGGUGCUGGUCAUCUAUUCAUCGGGAAACUUUGUCCUGUGUCCAGUGCAAAUAUGUUUGUAAUCAAUGUUGUCACACUAUGUUUUGUUUGAUGACUUGUGACUUGUAGGUUUUUGUUUUGUGACAAGAAUUCAGAAUCUCGCCAGUGUUAAGACUUUCUGUUGACAUCAGUGAAAUUUGUACAGACUUGUUUUUAACAUUUUGGUAGACACAGUAACACAUCCAAGGCCUUUGUUGGCUAGUGUUAGAGGUCUUUUUGAAUUGUGUGAAAGAUCUUAGUCGGCUUGUGUCAAAGAUCUUUGUAAACCAAAUAUUAGUAGACCUCUGUCUGAGAUCACUUUUUUCCUCAUCGAAGACCUUACUUCAUGGUCCAGCCAAAUUGUGAAAAAAAGAAGCAACUCUAUGCGACUGCUUGCAGUCAUGCAGUUACUUGUUUUCUAAACCAUCUUAAAUAUUAUAUCUUUUUUAUCCUUUUUAUUUAUUAUCACAUUUUUAUAUAAUAUCGUUUUCUAUAGUUUUUAUAAGAAGUUAUGUAGUUUUCUUUCCUUUUCAUUUAUACCUCCUGGUUUGUCCAUGUAGUGAAUAAUGAUCCUGCAUAAUGCAACACCUUGGUAAAGUGGACACUUUAUUACAAGAUGGAGAGUUGAAGCAUGUUUUUGUGCUAUUCUGUUUCAUCCUACUAUGGAUAUUAUGCUUUUGUGAGAUUGUGCCAACAUUUUAUUAUUUUGAAUUAUACACUGUUUACAGAUAUGUUUUUUUAUUUAUUCCUGGGUUGAACUUAAUUUGCAUAAAUAUUGUUUUAUCUGAUGAUUAGUAGAAGCAUUAAGCAGCUUUGGAAGCUGGCAGUGAACUAGAGUUCAGAUUGUUACCAUGGUGACAGUUCAGAUACUUAGGUCAUUGGUUCAGUUCACUUAUAUAGCAUUAUUCAGUGCAAUGUCAUUCUAUUUGAAGUAUAGAAGUAAGCUAUAGUCAUGAUGUGAGGUCGCUGUUGUCAUUGGAAAAGCAAUACUUGGUGUGUAGCUAUUUUGAGUCAGAUUUUGCAACAAUGUUACAAAUGUUUUUAUAUUUUAAAUUCAAGCUGAAUGUGACUGAUAAUUGAGUAUGUAACAUUUUCUUUUCUUAUGAAAUAUAUAUAGAACAUAGUGAAAGGGUUCCUGUUUGCAAACAUAUUAUUGUUGAUGUAAUUCAAAGAGACAGUCUAUCUCUAAGAUACUUCUGUACCAAUUGGGACGCUACUCCCAAUGUUAAAUCCAACAUGUACAUUCAGGCCUUGUUGCAUAUGCUCAUGUUGAUUUGGGAAACAGGUAGUUGGAUUCAUUAAUAAAUGCAGUUGGAAUACGCUUUACUCCAAGUAAUUGUCAUGUUGCAAGCUGAUCACAGACAUGAUUUUUGUUAGGUACGAAAUUGUCCGCUGGUGUUUGCCCAGUAUGAAAAGUACUUGGAUGACCACUGCAUCCUGACAACACUGAUCAAUGCUCACAACAUCGACCAUUGGUUUUCCUGGUUUACACACUCAGCAGGUUGCCAGGAUACAGCUGUCAUAUUUGCUGGAACAUAAAGACAUCCAUCUCCAGCGGAGAUAUAGUUGGAAUAAUCUCACAUGUCUAUAUAUCUGGACCAAUGUUAUAUGUCUCGCAUGUGCAAUAUUGUAUAGAAAUAUACAGCAUUUUGUUACAUAAUGUUUUGUGAAUAGACGUUGUAAUGCAGGAUAAGUAUUUAAAUUUUAAAAAUAUCUACAUUUUACUGGGGUUCUAUUGUACAUUAUUUUGUAUUUAUUGAUAUGUUGUUUUUUGACUUGAUAUUGAUAAGCCCUGGUUGAUACCUCAGGUACAUAUUGUACCAUGUGCUCUGGAACCAAAUACUGGGAACCAAUACUGAACCCA
rnacentral:misc_RNA from 1 species